UACAGAGGUCUCAAGCGUUGUUCGGAUUCAUUGGGCGUAAAGGGUGCGUAGGCGGCGUGGAAAGUUGGGUGUGAAAGCCCUCGGCUCAACCGAGGAAUUGCGCCCAAAACUUCCAUGCUUGAGGAAGAUAGAGGUGAGCGGAACUCAGGGUGGAGCGGUGAAAUGCGUUGAUAUCCUGAGGAACACCGGUGGCGAAAGCGGCUCACUGGAUCUUUUCUGACGCUGAGGCACGAAAGCUAGGGUAGCGAACGGG
rnacentral:rRNA from 1 species